GCAGUGGGAAGACAUAGCUUGGCGCCUCAGGGAAGCCCUGAAAAAACCUUUUACAGCGCGCUGUGUGCGCGAGCGCCUGAACCUGUUGCUGGCACGGUACUCGGAGAAUGAUCAGCGAAACCAAAAAAAGUAAGUCUGGAUGGUUGUUUCCGAGCACGGUACAAAAUAGGGUGCGUUAGUCGUUGUGCGACCUUGCUAUUAAUUGAUGUUCGUAGGUCCGGUACAGAAGAAGAAUACACGGAGCGGAACCAGCUGCUCCAAGACAUCCUAAGCCUCAUUGAAGGCACUUCGUACAAAGUGCGCACAGCGAGGAAGUCGAGGAAGGCCUGCCAUGCUGAGCCAGGCGUGGAAGCGCGAAAAUCGGCAGCGGCUGCCAGAGAUGUGCACGCAGCUAGAUACGCGGAGCGCAGCACAGCCUUCAUCGACGAGUGUGACACCGUUGAGGAAGAAAUUGAUGUUGCUAGCCCCACUGCCUACGCUACGCCGGAGCAGCUGCUGACUCGCAUGGUCACCCCUGAUGACGCCGAAAGAGAAUGGGACGACGUCAUAAGUGAAUGUGCAUUAGGCAUAUCUCGGCCGGCUUCCACAGAGCCCCAGUCGGCUGCGGCUACGCAUGCCCGCUCAGCAGAUAUAGCUGCGACUCCUGCAACAGCUGCAACAGCGGGUCGUAGGAGUGCCGAACCGCCAAGGGGCGCGGAUACCGAGACUGCAGCGGCUGCCUCCGCAGCAACAGGGUGUAGGAGCGCCGAAGCGACGCAUUCACAAGCCCCACCAAGCUACCCCAGGCGUGGAAAAAGACAGCAAGAACUGGCUGACCAUGCAUUUUUGCUGAAAAGAAUGAAGCACGAGCUGAUCAUGAAAGAAAAAGAAAUGCUGAUGGAAUCACGCAGGCUUGCUUUGGAGGAAAGCAAAGUUGCUUUAGAAGAAAAACGGCUAGCUUGGGAGAAAGAGCUAGCAAUUAUGAUGGCCCGUGAAAGGGAAGAGGACCGCAGAGCACGGGCAGAAGAGAGAAAAGAAGAAAGGCGCAUGCGGGCCGAAGAAAAACAAGAAGAAAGGCGAGAACGGGCUGAAGAACGUCGUCUUCUUGCUGCGCAGCAGGAAGCGUUCCUAAGCAUUCUGCAGGGCCUACUGCCAAGGAAUAAUGUACAGUAGAUGUUAGAAGUGGCAUAAGGAAGUCACGGUGCAUACCUGUAAGCACAGGUCCGAAACUCCAAAUAUUGUAUUUAUUGUUUGUGUUAUAAGUAAUAAUUUAUUGUGCACUUCAAAAUUGAAUAUUCAUGCAAAGUCACCAUGUAUCAGGGCUGGGCAGCAUCGCGAUACAAGAGUAUUGCGAUAGUAUUUCAGAGAUACUUUUGAGUAUGUGUAUUGCUGUGUCGAGAUACUUUUGAAAAAUGUAUUUGUAUCUCAGUAGUGAAAUACCUUUACGAUGUAUCGGCCGUAUCGCGAUACUAUCCAGGACACGAGUAUCUCGUUAAUUUUUUGGGGGGAAAUGAGCUGAAACGCGUGUGUUUACAAUGGAAGUGGACACGAGUAUCUCGUUAAUUUUGGUGGGGGAAAUGAGCUGAGACGUGUUUACAAUGCAAAAAAAAAAAAAUUACUGCUGUGACUUUGGCAGUCUACGGCGAGAUAUGCACCCACCAUUUCUACAUUUUCUGCUGAAAGCGAAACUGACUCCUACCUUCUUGAAAGCAAGCUAGUCGCUUUGCUAUCCGCAUCCCAUUGUGCACCUUGAGGCAGAGCUGAAAUGUGUUUGAAUGAUCCCCUGCUUGAGCUUGCCAACAAUGUUAUACUGCCAUUUUGAAUUCCAGCAGUGAUAUUUUGAUUGUGAGGAGCAUUGUAUACUGCACAAUGGGUGCCAAACAACAGCGUCGUUUUUAAAAUGUCUUCCCUCAUGCCAAUUCAACGAGCAGAAAUUUUUUUUGCUCUUGUUUUUUUCCCUCUUUUCUUUUUCGCGGUGCCCAUUUGACAAACUGGAGCUUGUCGCGGAAGCCACAAACCACCCAAAGAAUUCGGUGUGUGGUGCCGUGUGCCAUCAACGAUACUUCUUUCUCCAAAGCAUUUCUGGAAGACGCCAGCGUGGCUACACGGCAAUUGGAAGGAGGUCUCUUUUGUGUUUCUUUUUCGCAUUCCUUGUUUUGUUCGUUCUUCUUUCUGCUUUUUCUAUGUUUCUAGAAAACACUAAACCUUCAA
rnacentral:lncRNA from 1 species